GGAGUGUGGGCAGGACGGUAAUGCAGCAGACUGCUAAUCUGUAGGGCCCGCAAGGGCUCACCGGGUUCGACUCCCGGACACUCCGCCA
rnacentral:tRNA from 1 species